UACGGAGGGUGCAAGCGUUAUCCGGAUUCAUUGGGUUUAAAGGGUGCGUAGGCGGCUUUUUAAGUCAGCGGUGAAAUACUUCAGCUCAACUGGAGAACUGCCGUUGAUACUGGAAGGCUUGAGUACUGAUGAAGUGGGCAGAAUUGAAGGUGUAGCGGUGAAAUGCAUAGAUAUCUUCAAGAAUACCGAUUGCGAAGGCAGCUCACUAAGGAGUAACUGACGCUGAGGCACGAAAGCGUGGGUAGCAAACAGG
rnacentral:rRNA from 1 species